rnacentral:misc_RNA from 1 species
GAUGAAGAACGUAGCAAAGUGCGAUAACUAGUGUGAAUUGCAUAUUCAGUGAAUCAUCGAGUCUUUGAACGCAACUUGCGCUCAAUGGUAUUCCAUUGAGCACGCCUGUUUCAGUAUCAAAAACACCCCACAUUCAUAAUUUUGUUGUGAAUGGAAAUGAGAGUUUCGGCUUUAUUGCUGAAUUCUUUAAAAUUAUUAGGCCUGAACUAUUGUUCUUUCUGCCUGAACAUUUUUUUAAUAUAAAGGAAUGCUCUAGUAAAAAGACUAUCUCUGGGGCCUCCCAAAUAAAUCAUUCUUAAAUUUGAUCUGAAAUCAGGCGGGAUUACCCGCUGAACUUAAGCAUAUCAAAAGCGGAGGA